GGCGCAUUGUGCUGUCGCCAUUUGAUCAGGUUCUGUUCUGUUUUGGUCCAUUAACCACAGGAGGUGGUGAUGAUGGAAUGCGGAAGGGUGGGUUCUAUGUGAGGGAGGUGGGACUUUACGGGGGACCACUUGGGCAGCUAGGGACGGGACUGGACGGAGCUCAAAGUGUUCGGCCCAUGCAGACGACCAGCGGAGACUUCGGCUGGGGAGUCCACGUGUAGGUGUCAGCGCGAGGGCCAGAGGAGCCUGGUAGACAAUGGGCACCUUCGGAAGGCUAGCCCAGUGGCGGUAUAGACGAGAAGACCAGCGCUCGGCAGCGUGCACUCCGUGGCGUCCCGGUAGCUCGCCGUGAUCGUAUAGUGGUUAGAAGAGUGCAGAUUAGACAAUACACUGUGACGAGUGAAAAAUGCGACCGUGCUGGCGGCGCUGGUUCUCAUAGCCUCCAUGAGGGGUGCUAACGAGCAGUUUGCGGCCUCCAUCUCCACAACCUCGGAGUGAGAAGGUGGUUUCAUGCUGGGCAAUGAGCUGCUCCCCAGAAUCUGGGGAGAAAGUCUGGAGCAGUGACUCUCUUGGAGUAUUCGAGUAAAAGCAAUCAACCAAGAAAAUAAAAACCACAAACAUACACCAUCUGAGGUAACCCACUCAGCCAUUUACAUCCAACCAAGGCAGCUGAAGCGUAUUCUGAGGGCAGGAAUGCCCUAAAGAAAGUCAACAGAAGGUUCCUGGUUGCAGGAAGAGUAACUGAAGGGGAAGGUGCUCUCCUGCACCUCCAACUGCUGACCUUUUCGGCAGGUAUACCAUUAUCCUGGAGAUGGGUGCAUCCAGCUCGUGAAAUUUCAUAAUAUCCUCUUCCAAGGUCACUCACUCAAUUCCCCUUACUCUGAUUUCAGGCCCACAAAACAGACUUUUGCUAAUGAUUUGACUGCCCGUGUAGACGUUCCUGCAGGGAAGAGCAUUGCUCUGAACAAGCUUCUGAGUAGUUGGCAUUUGUUCUUCUUACUCUUGGUAUUUCGGUUUAGACUCUUAAGAGUCUGGUUGGUAUGAUUCAUUGCCCUUGAAUCUGCUUAUCUCUGGGCGCACUGGCAAAACGGAGUUUCUGGGCUGGCAAAGCUGUGAGCUAGAGACUCUGCCCUGGGAUGACCUCACCAGGAUUGCUGCUCUGUGACACCCUCUCUGAGCAGUCAGCACCCUCCUCCUUUGACCUCUUGUUUUAAACCCACGUUUUGUAGUUUUUGAUUCUGGGGAUAUGAUCCUUUUCCCCCACCCCUUCCAGCGUGAGGUCCGAGCUCUUCUCUAGGUCUCAGCACCAGCAAAGAGGCAGGCAGAACUUCAACGGGCAAACCUUGAAGGGAACAACUGUAAUUUAUAAGCUUCGGAGUGUUUGCUUCAACUAACAACCCCAUGGCUACCUGGUCACACCGGAGCAUCUGGGAGCUGUUGCUGCUGCAGCUGCCGGUCACCACAAGGGUGCAGUACAGACUGGACCAGCAUCCCGGUAUCACCUGGAAGCUGGUUCAAAUUCAGAAUCUUGGUCCACAACACAGAACUACUGGAUGAGAAUCUUCACUUGAACAAGAUCCUCCCCAGAUGAUUCAUCUGCACCUUCAAGUUUGAGAAGUGCUGCUGUCAUCUAGAGGAACUACCUGGCUCUAAGGGAGGUCUUCACUGUUCACCUUCUGGAAGAAAAUACUAGCCCACAGGCAACAAUAAGAAAACAACAGAAGACAUGCUGUAGAUGGAAGAGGCAUUUCUCACUGCGGUGGAAGGAAACUCUCCAAGGAAGAGCUGACAUAAGCUUCCAGCAGAAUUGUAAAAUAACUGAAAUUUGUUUUCAGCACUUCCAGCCCCCUCAUUCUGACACCCCUCCACCUCUUUGUGUUGUCGUUAUCUCAUUGAUUCUCAUUCAUUUCAAUUAAAAAUAUUUAUUGAUGGCCUACUAUGUGCCAGGCACUGAUCUAGGUUCUGGGGCUACAGUCAGGAAUAAGACGUUAUAUACGAUAAGAUGUGUUGUUCUCAUAGACCUAUAUUCUAGUGCAGGAAUCAGAAAGUUAAACAAAAAUAAAGAAGAGAAUUUGAGCCAGUGGAAAAUAAUGUGACACAGUGUCCUCCUGUUCCCUGCCUAUUGCCCACCCUUCUACCCACUCUGCUCCUUUGUUUGUACAAAGUACGAUGACUGAUAAUAGUAAGUGUUGCCUUUUAAUAGGGAUCAAAGUUUUACACCAAAGAGAUAAACUAACCUAGAGUGGCCCCUAUGUGGCAUAAAGAGCCUUCAGAUCUGAGGCAGUCUUGUGUGGGCAGGGUGAGGAGGAUUCUGUGGU
ensembl:lncRNA